ACAUCAGACAUUUUCGAAUCAACUCCUUAAAUCGUUCCCAAGCUUCAUAUAAUGUCUCGUCCUCCAUUUGCCAAAAAAAUGUAAUGUCAUUUCUUAACUU
rfam:Gossypium raimondii chromosome 10, whole genome shotgun sequence.